rnacentral:misc_RNA from 1 species
AAACUCAUUUGCACAUAAAACAAUUCUUAAUUUCGCGUCUGCACAGAUAACGUAUCAAUGUAUAGUUAAAUUAACAAAAAAAAAAAACUCAGCGAAAUGAAAAUUGUUCAUUUAAUUUGCACUUUACUGUAACGCUCAUAGCCAAUAAAACUCGGGGAAUAUCCGAGAGUAUUGAACCAACCCACUCCGUAGAUACAAGUUCACUCCUUCUCUUACAAAAUAAUUGCGUUUGCUCGCAAACGAAAAAAAACUAACUUCAAUUACAUCAAUAAGUAAUACAACGUAAGUAGAGGAAACAAUAGUCAAGUAAAUACGCGCUAUCAAAGAC